rnacentral:rRNA from 1 species
AUUGAACGCUGGCGGCAUGCUUUACACAUGCAAGUCGAACGGUAACAGGCCGCAAGGUUCUUACGAGUGGCGAACGGUUGAGUAAUGCAUCGGAACGUGCCCAGUCGUGGGUGUUAACUACUCGAAAUAGUAGCUAAUACCGCAUACGAUCUCUGGCUGACAGCGGGUGACCGUAAGGCCUCUCGCGAUUUUAGCCGCCGAUGUCAGAUUAGGUAGUUGGUGGGGUAAAGGCUCACCAAGCCAACGAUCUGUAGCUGGUCUGAGAGGACGAACAGCCACACUGGGACUGAGACACGGCCCAGACUCCUACGGGAGGCAGCAGUGGGGAAUAUUGGACAAUGGGCGCAAGCCUGAUCCAGCAAUGCCGCGUGCAGGAAGAAGGCCUUCGGGUUGUAAACUGCUUUUGUACGGAACGAAACGGCGCUGGUUAAUACCCGGGGCUAAUGACGGUACCGUAAGAAUAAGCACCGGCUAACUACGUG